UUUCCGUAGGUGAACCUGCGGAAGGAUCAUUAUUGUAUAACCGAGGUGCGAGGGCUGUCGCUGACCCGAAAGGACGUGCACGCCCGAGUGCCCUCACACACAUCCAUCUCACCCCUAUGUGCACCACCGCGUGGGUCACCCUUUGGCUUGUUCGGAGGGGGGCUUACGUUUUCACACAAACUUUGUAUGCAGUGUAGAAUGUAUUUUUUGUUUUUGCGAUCACGCAAUCAAUACAACUUUCAACAACGGAUCUCUUGGCUCUC
rnacentral:misc_RNA from 1 species